UACAGAGGGUGCGAGCGUUGUCCGGAAUCACUGGGCGUAAAGGGCGCGUAGGCGGCCUGAUAAGUAGGGGGGUGAAAUCCUGUGGCUCAACUGCAGGGCUGCCUCCUAGACUGUCGGGCUUGAGCACGGUAGAGGCAGAUGGAAUUCCCGGUGUAGCGGUGAAAUGCGCAGAUAUCGGGAGGAACACCUAUGGCGAAGGCAGCUCGCUGGGACGUUACUGACGCUGAGACGCGAAAGCGUGGGGAGCAAACAGG
rnacentral:rRNA from 1 species